AGAGAGAGACAUGCGCGCAUAUCAAUAAGCGGAGGAAAAGAAACUAACAAGGAUUCCCCUUAGUAACGGCGAGUGAAGCGGGAAGAGCUCAAAUUUGAAAUCUUCAAGGGUUUACCUUUACGAAUUGUAGUUUAAAGAAGUGUUUUCUGUUGAGGUUUUCGGUAAAAGUUCUUUGGAAUAGGACAUCAUAGAGGGUGAGAAUCCCGUAUUUGACCUUUACUUUCAACUUUGUGAUACACUUUCAAAGAGUCGGAUUGUUUGGGAAUGCAGUCCAAAAUGGGUGGUAAAUUUCAUCUAAAGCUAAAUAUUGGCGAGAGACCGAUAGCGAACAAGUACCGUGAGGGAAAGAUGAAAAGAACUUUGAAAAGAGAGUUAAACAGUACGUGAAAUUGUCAAAAGGGAAGCGUUUGACACCAGUGUUGUUUUUCUGAAAAUCAAUUAAAGAACUGUUUAUGCUAAGUUGUUUAGACUUUAUCAGCUAUCUGUUUAGUUUUGAGCUUUUCUUUAAUGCACUUUUCAGUUAACAAGUCAACAUCAAUUUCUUUUGCUGUAAAAAAGCUUGAGGAAGGUGGCUUGAGAUUCGUCUUAAGUGUUUAUAGCCUCUUGCCUAUGCAGUCGGAGAGAUUGAGGUCUGCAGCGUAGAUCCUUCGGGGCUAAAUGCAUUUGUGCUAAGUUAUAGCAUUUUAUAGACAACUUGUUGACUAUGAUUUGUCUUGUAGCUUACUCGCUUAUGUUAUUUUACCUACGCUUAGGAUGUUGAGCGCAUGUCUCUCUCU
rnacentral:rRNA from 1 species